UAGGGAGGGAGUAGAUCUAAAACUCUUGAUGGAAAACGAGACGAUGUUACCAAGCAGUUUGGCAAGAGUACGAGUUUAUGUGUUACGUUUGUUUGUUUAUUUAUUUAUUUAUUUAUUUAUUUAUUUAUUUAUUUAUCAUAUUAUAUUUGGCUAUGAUUCCUACCAUAAUCAUGUUUUGAAUAUCUAUGCUCCAUAAUUUUUAUAUAUUGAUGACCAUGACAAA
rnacentral:lncRNA from 1 species